UAUGCAGGAAAAAGAUCUUUUACUGAAGUCAUUAAACAUCAUUAAAAUAUUGUGUUGUGACUCCAGGUGCUCUGACAUGUUCUCCCCGUGUCAGCGUGGGUUUCCUCCCGGUGCUCUGACAUGUUCUCCCCGUGUCAGCGUGGGUUUCCUCCAGGUGCUCUGACAUGUUCUCCCCGUGUCAGCGUGGGUUUCCUCCCGGUGCUCUGACAUGUUCUCCCCGUGUCAGCGUGGGUUUCCUCCAGGUGCUCUGACAUGUUCUCCCUGUGUCAGCGUGGGUUUCCUCCAGGUGCUCUGACAUGUUCUCCCUGUGUCAGCGUGGGUUUCCUCCAGGUGCUCCCACAUGUUCUCCCUGUGUCAGCGUGGGUUUCCUCCAGGUGCUCUGACAUGUUCUCCCCGUGUCAGUGUGGGUUUCCUCCAGGUGCUCUGACAUGUUCUCCCCGUGUCAGCGUGGGUUUCCUCCAGGUGCUCUGACAUGUUCUCCCCGUGUCAGUGUGGGUUUCCUCCAGGUGCUCUGACAUGUUCUCCCUGUGUCAGCGUGGGUUUCCUCCAGGUGCUCCCACAUGUUCUCCCCGUGUCAGUGUGGGUUUCCUCCAGGUGCUCUGACAUGUUCUCCCCGUGUCAGCGUGGGUUUCCUCCAGGUGCUCCCACAUGUUCUCCCUGUGUCAGCGUGGGUUUCCUCCAGGUGCUCCCACAUGUUCUCCCUGUGUCAGCGUGGGUUUCCUCCAGGUGCUCUGACAUGUUCUCCCUGUGUCAGUGUGGGUUUCCUCCAGGUGCUCUGACAUGUUCUCCCUGUGUCAGUGUGGGUUUCCUCCAGGUGCUCUGACAUGUUCUCCCCGUGUCAGCGUGGGUUUCCUCCAGGUGCUCUGACAUGUUCUCCCCGUGUCAGCGUGGGUUUCCUCCAGGUGCUCUGACAUGUUCUCCCCGUGUCAGCGUGGGUUUCCUCCAGGUGCUCCGGCUUCCUCCCACAGUCCAAAGACAUGCAGGUUAAUUGGUGACUCUAAAUUGUCCGUAGGUGUGAAUGUGAGUGUGAAUGGUUGUCUGUCUCUAUGUGUCAGCCCUGUGAUAGUCUGGUGACCUGUCCAGGGUGAACCCUGCCUCUCACCCAGUGUCAGCUGGGAUAGGCUCCACCCCCCGUGACCCCUAACAGGAUGAGUGGUUAUGGAAAAUGAAUGAACUACAAAGUAAAUAAAUACAUCUCUGCAGUACCUCAGAGCUGUACUGAUGUUCAGAUUGUGACAGCAGCGUCUGAGCCAUUGAGUUCUUAAAUGAAUAAUAAAUUACAGAUCCAUUUUUUAAAUAUGAAAUAACAAUAAUCAGA